CACAGCCUCGUCAAAAUUCGGUGCCCGCCUCUGCCGUGGUGGGGACCGGCCCAGGGCUGCCACGGUGAUCUCUCUGCUCCACGUCCCUGCCGUGGGGACAUCGGGGGAUCAAAUAGGUUACGGACACUC